rnacentral:rRNA from 1 species
GGGAAUAUUGCGCAAUGGGGGAAACCCUGACGCAGCAACGCCGCGUGGAGGAUGACACUUUUCGGAGCGUAAACUCCUUUUCUUAGGGAAGAAUUCUGACGGUACCUAAGGAAUAAGCACCGGCUAACUCCGUGCCAGCAGCCGCGGUAAUACGGAGGGUGCAAGCGUUACUCGGAAUCACUGGGCGUAAAGGGCGCGUAGGCGGAUUAUCAAGUCUCUUGUGAAAUCUAAUGGCUUAACCAUUAAACUGCUUGGGAAACUGAUAGUCUAGAGUGAGGGAGAGGCAGAUGGAAUUGGUGGUGUAGGGGUAAAAUCCGUAGAUAUCACCAAGAAUACCCAUUGCGAAGGCGAUCUGCUGGAACUCAACUGACGCUAAGGCGCGAAAGCGUGGGGAGCAAACAGGAUUAGAUACCCUGGUAGUCCACGCCCUAAACGAUGUACACUAGUUGUUGGGGUGCUAGUCAUCUCAGUAAUGCAGCUAACGCAUUAAGUGUACCGCCUGGGGAGUACGGUCGCAAGAUUAAAACUCAAAGGAAUAGACGGGGACCCGCACAAGCGGUGGAGCAUGUGGUUUAAUUCGAAGAUACGCGAAGAACCUUACCUGGGCUUGAUAUCCUAAGAACCUUUUAGAGAUAAGAGGGUGCUAGCUUGCUAGAACUUAGAGACAGGUGCUGCACGGCUGUCGUCAGCUCGUGUCGUGAGAUGUUGGGUUAAGUCCCGCAACGAGCGCAACCCACGUAUUUAGUUGCUAACGGUUCGGCCGAGCACUCUAAAUAGACUGCCUUCGUAAGGAGGAGGAAGGUGUGGACGACGUCAAGUCAUCAUGGCCCUUAUGCCCAGGGCGACACACGUGCUACAAUGGCAUAUACAAUGAGACGCAAUACCGCGAGGUGGAGCAAAUCUAUAAAAUAUGUCCCAGUUCGGAUUGUUCUCUGCAACUCGAGAGCAUGAAGCCGGAAUCGCUAGUAAUCGUAGAUCAGCCAUGCUACGGUGAAUACGUUCCCGGGUCUUGUACUCACCGCCCGUCACACCAUGGGAGUUGAUUUCACUCGAAGCCGGAAUACUAAACUAGUUACCGUCCACAGUGGAAUCAGCGACUGGGGUGAAGUCGUAACAAGGUAACCGUAGGAGAACCUGCGGUUGGAUCACCUCCUUUCUA